GUUUGACCCCCCGAAACUAAGCGAGCUACUUUAAAACAGCCUCAUGGGCCAACCCGUCUCUGUAGCAAAAGGGUGGGAAGAUUUUAAAGUAGGGGUGACACACCUAUCGAGCUUAGAGAUAGCUGGUUAUUCAAGAAAAGGAUUUAAGUCCACCUUUAAGUUUUUUUACUAAUACUAAAUCCCCAAUAAACUUAAAAGCCAUUCAAAUAAGGUACAGCCUAUUUGAACUAGGAAACAACCUCUAAUACAGGGUAAUGAUCUUCUACAUGUGACCAAGUAGGCCUAAAAGCAGCCAACUUCCAAACAGCGUCCAAGCUUUAUCACUAACCAUUAUUAAUCCCAUCAUCUUUACAUAACCCACAACUACCACUGAAUAACCCCAUACCACUAUGGGAGAUAUUAUGCUAGAACUAGUAACAAGAACAAGUGCUUCUCCAAAAUAUUAAGCGUAAGCCAAAAUGAACAACUCACUGGCAUUCACCGCCAUAGACUCAUAGUACCAACUCAACAAGAAAACCCUACUACACC
rnacentral:rRNA from 1 species